rnacentral:lncRNA from 1 species
AAAAAUAUUAUCGUCCCUGAAUGGGACUUUCUGUUAGGCAGAUUGGGGUGCAAGCUCUUAUUCGAUUGCAAAUGAGGUUGUGGAAUAAGCUGUUGUUUCAAAAGGAUUCUACCUUCCUCAAGAUGUUGUCUCUAAAUUCAGCAGUAUGCAAAUGAGGUUACAGACAAAUGAGUGGCAGAAUAGGCUGUCAACUAGAGACUCUCCCUCUCUAAUCCAAUUUGGAUGGUCAGAGUUUCGCCUUGGGCUGGGGGGUUAAACUUGUGGGGCAGUUUUCCUGCAAUGAAGCUGGUGAUUGCCUAGGAUUUAUGUCAGCUCUAUAGUUACUUCUUCCUCCGUAUGAGUAGAAUCAUGGGUUUCCUUUUAAAAAUAUUUCAUAUGAUUGGAACAACGGACGGCAAAGUUGAUUCAACAUGCCUCCUAAACCUUCCUUCAAACAAGAAGCAAGUCAGAAGCAGGGCAGAUGCGAAAGCAAUCUGUCUGCAGAUCGAUUAGCUAACCUUGCUUCAAAUCAAUAAGUCCAUUAUAAAAAGGGUUAAUCCCACAAAAAACCUCAAAUUGAUGCACAUGUGACAAAUUUACCCAAAAUUAA